rnacentral:lncRNA from 1 species
CCCCUGCCUCUCUCCAGGGUCCAAAGGCCAAGCCUGUAGUGUCCUUCAUUGCUGGUAUAACUGCUCCUCCUGGCAGAAGGAUGGGCCACGCAGGGGCGAUUAUUGCUGGAGGAAAAGGUGGCGCCAAAGAGAAGAUCUCUGCUCUUCAGAGUGCGGGUGUAAUUGUCAGCAUGUCCCCCGCACAGCUGGGAACCUGCAUGUAUAAGGAAUUUGAAAAGAGGAAGAUGCUUUGAAGGACACGACAUGAAUUUUAAGGCUGUGGAGGAAAUCUCACAGACUGGAGAGCCCGUCCAGACUGCAGCCCAGGCACCUGACCCUGGUCUCUCAGUACAGGGGAAGUCCAGGCAUGUUUUAGAAUGUCCUAAAUUGAGCUAUUUUCACUUACUGUGUAACAGAGACAGAUAAUAAAUCUAUCAUUUGAUUUGAA